rnacentral:rRNA from 1 species
UGGUGGAGUGAUUUGUCUGGUUAAUUCCGUUAACGAACGAGACCUCAGCCUGCUAAAUAGUCAUGCGAAUCGUCUGACAGGUGAAGCGUGAGGUGUCCCGUUGGGGGCCCUGCCCCCGCGGGUGCCGCGCGUGGAUCUAUGACUGAUUCGUAGCAAAAUUUUUUGACUUCUUAGAGGGACUAUUCUGUGUUUAACGAUUGGAAGUUUGAGGCAAUAACA